ensembl:lncRNA
CAAAAGAGUGACGGUCAUUAAGAGGGUCUGCGGUGCUGGGAUGUUCACGCGCAUCCUUGCUGGACACAUUUGCGCAAACUGUCAGUGACAAUCCUACUAUUAUAAUGUUUUAUUUAAAAUGAGAAAAAAUUUUUUUUAUCAAAAAUAUUAACCCGUCUUUUGGUCAUUGCCUUAAAAAAAUCGAUUGUCACUGGAGUGAAAAUAACGAAACAACUGUUUAGUUACUCAAGCGCGUCAUUUCCCCUCAUAUAUGCGCAAAGUUAUUGACAGCUAUAAUUUCUUUGCCCCAGUUAUUGCAUUUGCAUGUUUCGUUUACCACUCGAAACAGACUGAAAUAACGUAUACCGUAAAACUGUAGGCUGAGAGAAGCUGCUGCUGUGUGUAAUUUUUAGUCUAACCGCGUGGGAACCUGUGAGUUGCUAGCUCGUGGUUGCUAGCUAGCGAAGGUUUAAGUGGAAACACAUUAUCCGACACGAAGUGAUGCUAGAAAAUGCCACCAAAAGGAAAGGGUGGCAAAGGUGUUAAAGGGGCAGCUGCUUCAGGCAGUGGAGACAGUGAUAAGAAGGAGAAGGCUCAGAAAGGUGGUACAGCUGUAAAGGUAAACAUCUGUAUACUGUAUUUUGUAUCUGCAUAAGAAAUGUUACUUAAAAUACUGUAAAUUUUAACUGAGAUAUAUAUUAGUGCUGUCAAUCGUUUUUAAAAAAAAUAACUAAUCAAUUGCACAUUUUUCUGAAAUUAAUUGGGAUAAAUUCCACCUAUCAUUAAAGUUUUUAAAUAUACUUUUAUAUUGCAAUAAUUUCACAUUCAAUCUUCAAAUUAAUGUAGAAACAUCAAAGUAUAUUUUUAAUAUUUGUUAAAUAGCAUCUUUUUAUGACUGAAGGCAAGUAUCACUGAUACCAACUGAUGAUUCUAUCAGUUUAACAUUUCUUAUACUUUAAAAAAUUAACUUCUAAUUUAAGUGAACUAAAAACAAUCUUCACAUAAACCCAUUUAAAUAAAUGUCGGCAAUAAAUGUGCCCUUCUGCA